rnacentral:rRNA from 1 species
GGCUGAAUAGACUGGAGGGUAGUCCCUGCCCAGUGGUACAUGUCUAAACGGAAAGGAUAAUUUUUAAAGUAGCGUAAUAAUUUGUCCCUUAAUUAGGGUCUGAAUGAAUGGGUUGACGUGGGGUGGCUGUCUUAAAAGAAGUUUAUUUAAAUUUCCUUCUUAGUGAAAAGCCUGAGAUAAGCUUAAAAGACGAGAAGACCCCGUCGAGCUUAAGAGGAAAAAUAGUAAUUACUUUUUUUUUCAGUUUUAUUGGGGCAAUAAAGGAGAAGAAUAAACCUCCAGUUUUUGUUAUUGAUCCAUCUGUUGAUGAUAAUAAGAAAAAGUUACCGCGGGGAUAACAGCGCAAGACGACCAGAGAGUUCUUAUCUAAGGCCGUAAGUGCGACCUCGAUGUUGGAUUAGGGUAGACUUAAGGGUGCAGCAGUUCUUAAAGUGGGACUGUUCGUCCUUUAAAUCCCUACGUGAUCUGAGUUCAGACCGGAUGUUUUUGA